GACGUAGGGGGCCAGCGUUGCUCGGAAUUACUGGGCGUAAAGGGUUCGUAGGCGGUGCGGCAAGUCGGGAGUGAAAUCUCUGGGCUUAACUCAGGGGCUGCUUCCGAAACUGCCGUGCUUGAGUGCGGGAGAGGCGAGUGGAAUUGCAGGUGUAGCGGUGAAAUGCGUAGAUAUCUGGAGGAACACCGGUGGCGAAGGCGGCAUCCUGGACCGGCACUGACGCUGAGGAGCGAAAGCCAGGGGAGCAAACGGG
rnacentral:rRNA from 1 species